rnacentral:rRNA from 1 species
AUUGAACGCUAGCGGGAUGCUUUACACAUGCAAGUCGAACGAGUGGCGGACGGGUGAGUAAUAUAUCGGAACGUGCCCAGUAGCGGGGGAUAACUACUCGAAAGAGUGGCUAAUACCGCAUAUUAUUGGAGCGGCCGAUAUCGGAUUAGUUAGUUGGUGGGGUAAAGGCUCACCUAGGCAACGAUCCGUAGCUGGUUUGAGAGGGCGACCAACGACGCUGGGACUGAGACUCAGCCCAGACUCCUACGGGAGGCAGCAGGGGGGAAUUUUGGACGAUGGGGUAAACCCUGAUCCAGCCGUCCCGCGUGUAUGAGAAGGCCUGCGGGUUGUAAAGUACUUUUGGCAGAGAAGCGGUAUCUGCAGAAUAAGCGCCGGCUAACUACGUGCCAGCAGCCGCGGUAAUUC